rnacentral:rRNA from 1 species
AUUGAACGCUGGCGGCAGGCCUAACACAUGCAAGUCGAGCGGAUCGCCGGACGGGGGAGUAAUGCCUAGGAAUCGGCAUGGGCGUGGUGGAUAGCGUCCGGAAACGGGCGCUAAUACCGCAUACUAUCAGAUGAGCCUGGGUCGGAUUAGCUAGUUGGUGGGGUAAAGGCCUACCAAGGCGACGAGCCGGAACUGGUCUGAGAGGAUGAUCAGCCACACUGGAACGGAGACACGGUCCAGACUCCUACGGGAGGCAGCAGUGGGGAAUAUUGGACAAUGGGCGAAAGCCUGAUGCAGCCAUGCCGCGUGUGUGAAGAAGGUCUUCGGAUUGUAAAGCACUUUAAGUUGGGAGGCGUUACCAACAGAAUAAGCACCGGCUAACUUCGUGCCAGCAGCCGCGGUAAUUC